AUUUACUGUAAGGUACAUGAGAAUCUUAAGUUAUUUACUGCAAUGUAUUUACUGCAAGGUACAUGAUAAUCGCAAGGUAUUUACUGCAAGGUACAUGUAUUUACUGCAAGGUAUAUGAGGAUCGCAAGGUAUUUACUGCAAGGUACAUGAGAAUCUUAAGUUAUUUACUGCAAGGUAUUUACUGCAAGGUACAUGAUAAUCGCAAGGUAUUUACUGCAAGGUAUUUACUGCAAGGUACAUGAGAAUCGCAAGGUAUUUACUGCAAGAUAUAUGAGGAUCGCAAGGUAUAAUCAUAUAUACAACAUAAAUAAUAAUCAUAAAUAUACAAGA
rnacentral:lncRNA from 1 species